AGGCUAAACACUACCGAGAGACCGAUAGCGCACAGUACCGUGAGGGAAAGGUGAAAAGAACCCCGCGCAGGGGAGUGAAAAAGAACCUGAAACCAUACGCCUACAAGCGGUCGGAGCCACUAUGUGUGGUGACGGCGUGCCUUUUGCAUAAUGAACCUGCGAGUUGCCGUCGUCGGCGAGGCUAAGUGCCGAAGGCACGGAGCCGGAGCGAAAGCGAGUCCGAACAGGGCGUUUAGUCGGCGGGGGCAGACGCGAAACCGAGUGAUCUACGCAUGAGCAGGAUGAAGGACAGGUAACACUGUCUGGAGGUCCGAACCGGUAAGCGUUGAAAAGCUUUCGGAUGACUUGUGCGUAGGAGUGAAAGGCCAAUCAAACUCGGAGAUAGCUCGUACUCCCCGAAAUGCAUUUAGGUGCAGCCCGGGCAAAGUACCGUGGAGGUAGAGCGACCGAUAGGAUGCGAGGGCUUCGCCGCCUGUCAAGUCCUGACGAACUCCGAAUGCCACGGCACGGUUGCCCGGAGUGAGGGCGCGGGUGCUAAGGUCCGCGUCCGAGAGAGGAACAACUCAGACCACCAGUCAAGGCCCCGAAAUCCGGGCUAAGUUGAAGACAAUAACGAGGUGGGGCCGCAGAGACAGCUAGGAUGUUGGCUUGGAAGCAGCCACUCAUUCAAAGAGUGCGUAACAGCUCACUAGUCGAGCGGCCCCGCGUGGAUAAUAAUCGGGCAUAAGUCCGGUGCCGAAACUGUGGGAUGGUCCAUAAGGGCCAUCGGUAGGGGAGCAUUCCGAUACCGGCGAAGCAGGUCCGCGAGGGUCUGUGGAGGAGUCGGAAAAGCAAAUGCAGGUAUAAGUAACGACAAAUGGGGCGGGAAACCCCAUCGCCGAAAGACCAAGGGUUCCCGGGCGACGCUAAUCGGCCCGGGGUAAGUCGGGACCUAACGCGGGCCAGGUAUGGUCACGCGGAUGGACACGCGGUCAAUAUUCCGCGACCCGGCGCCAUGGAGUCCCAGCGGGGACGGAGAAGCGAAACAUGGGCGCGCUGACGGAAUAGCGCGUUGAAGGACAAAGCUCGGUGGCGCGGCGGAAACGCGCCUUGCGAAGUCCGAGAGUACACAAGGCCUUCGGGCCGCGUGAGCCAUGGAGGAGCCAGCUCCCGAGAAAAGCCGCGCGGGGCGUCUGACAUGGGGUCGGCCCGUACCGGAAACCGACACAGGUGGUCGGGUAGAAUAUACCGAGGCGCUCGAGAGACUCACGGUCAAGGAACUAGGCAAACUGGCCCCGUAACUUAGGGAUAAGGGGCCCUCCCCCCUCAUCAAGGGGAGGCGCAGAGAAUAGGUCCAGGCAACUGUUUAGCAAAAACACAGGGCUGUGCUAAGCCGCAAGGCGCGGUAUACAGUCUGACACCUGCCCGGUGCCGGAAGGUUAAGCGGAGCUGUCAGAGCGAUCGAAGCAGUGAAGUGAAGCCCCGGUAAACGGCGGCCGUAACUAUAACGGUCCUAAGGUAGCGAAAUUCCUUGUCGGGUAAGUUCCGACCUGCACGAAUGGUGUAAUGAUCCGGACACUGUCUCGACCGUGAGCUCGGUGAAAUUGUAGUAUCGGUGAAGAUGCCGAUUACCCGCAACGGGACGAAAAGACCCCGUGAACCUUUACUGCAG
rnacentral:rRNA from 1 species